CAGUCGCCGCGGUAAUACGUAGGUGGCAAGCGUUGUCCAGAAUUAUUGGGCGUAAAGGGCUCGCAGGCGGUUUCUUAAGUCUGAUGUGAAAGCCCCCGGCUCAACCGGGGAGGGUCAUUGGAAACUGGGAAACUUGAGUGCAGAAGAGGAGAGUGGAAUUCCACGUGUAGCGGUGAAAUGCGUAGAGAUGUGGAUGAACACCAGUGGCGAAGGCGACUCUCUGGUCUGUAACUGACGCUGAGGAGCGAAAGCGUGGGGAGCGAACAGGAUUAGAUACCCGGGUAGUCCCUGUCUCUUAUAC
rnacentral:rRNA from 1 species